GACUUCAAGAAAAAAAAACCUAAAAAUCAGUUGGUGGGACCCAUACAUGGGAAAGACAACAGCAUAAAAGGACCAAACUCGCUUGAACUUAGACAACAUUCUGGUUCUGUCCACUGAAUCCUUGAUUUUCUGUGAAGAGCAACGUCAAUGGCCACAUUUGGCGCACAAGGUGUUCGUCCUCCUCCAUUGACAUCCACCUCCGAUCAACCUCCUCUUUUUGAUGGCACCACCAGGUUGUACACCAGUUAUGGUUGCCCCUAUGCACAACGUGUAUGGAUCACUAGGAACUACAAGGGGCUACAAGACAAGAUCCAUUUGGUCCCUAUAAACCUUCAAGACAGGCCAGCUUGGUAUAAGGAGAAAGUCUACCCUGAAAAUAAGGUGCCAUCAUUGGAGCACAAUGGCAAGGUUCUGGGAGAAAGUCUUGAUUUGAUCAAGUAUGUAGAUGUCAACUUUGAAGGGACACCUUUGUUUCCCACUGAUCCUGCCAAGAAAGAGUUCGGUGAGCAACUGAUAUCCCAUGUUGAUACAUUCACCAGAGACCUGUUCAUUUCAUUGAAAGGAGAUGCUGUACAAGAAACCAGUUCUGCUUUUGGAUACUUGGAGAAUGCUCUUGGUAAAUUUGAUGAUGGGCCAUUCUUGCUUGGUCAGUUAAGUUUGGUGGAUAUAGCAUAUAUUCCAUUUGUUGAAAGAUUUCAAAUUGUCUUUGCUGAGUUGUUCAAACAUGAUAUCACAGAAGGAAGGCCUAAACUUGCAAUAUGGCUUAAGAUUGUUUCUUGUGAACGAAAAUGUUUCUUUUACAGGAGCUGAACAAGAUUGAUGCUUAUACAGAGACAAAAGUUGAUCCACAGGAAGUAAUUGAUCUUUUCAAGGAACGUUUUCUGCCUAAACAGUGAAUGCUUGAUGCUUCAGGCUUCUGCAUUGAUGGGAGCACAUGAUGCAUCUUCAAUCAAAUUAUCUGUGUUUAGACUAUGCCAAUAAAGCAUCCUCUGCAUUCAUGGCAGCACAGGAUGCAUCUUCAAUCAAAUAUCUUUGUGUUUAUUUGCUAGAGUUGCACGAGUGUUUGAUGUGAUAGUUAUGUUCAUUUUUCAGCUUGUUUCUUUGAUGUCAUAAUAAGGUUUAUGUACCAGCUUAUAGUCACGGUUGAUUAUAUUAUACAAUUAUCCUAUGUUAUAUUA